GGCGGGAUAGCUCAGGUGGUUAGAGCGGCGGUCUCAUAAUCCGCAGGUCGGCGGUUCAAGUCCGCCUCCCGCUACCA
rnacentral:tRNA from 7 species